CCAGGAGCACCGCUGGGUAGCCAAGUACGGACGGGAUAAGCGCUGAAAGCAUCUAAGCGUGAAGCCCCCCUCAAGAUGAGAUUUCCCAAUUAGUAAGACCCCUUGAAGACGACGAGGUUGAUAGGUUCGGGGUGGAAGCACAGCAAUGUGUGGAGCUGACGAAUACUAAUCGGUCGAGGGCUUAUCCUA
rnacentral:rRNA from 1 species